GAGAGAGCGAGAGGAGAGGGUGUAUUAGUAUCUAUGGAGAACCCAAGUCUUAGGUGCACACUAUCUCAAUAAGGGAUGGAGUUAAACUUACUUUUGGCUACUUCUUAAUUAUGUAAUAUUCACACUUUAUCCUCAUCUACUGACACAUCUAUCUUUUAAUGGCUUGUGAUUGAUUACCUAGGCAUACCAAGUAGUACAAUGGAACAAUAAAACUGGACAACACCAGAAAGAAUUUUAAUUUUGAGAGCAAAUUAUAUCUGUAUCCUACUGAAAUGUCUGAUGCUGUGAGCAAAUUUUUAUUAUUCAGUUACUAAAUAAAGAAAUAAGGAAUAAGUAAUUUAUUCAUACAGACAUUCAAAGAAAAUCACACAGGAAAAGGAAGAAAUAACAAAUACAUUCGCUAAUUCUCAAAACAUAACAUGAGAAAGCCAACAAGCAAAUAAAUAAGUUAAACCCAAGACUAUAAGGAGAGGAGGACCUGCCCACACCAGUACCCUAACUAGGGUUGUAAAAUUCCAGGGAAGUUAGAACUGGGAAACUUGCCAUAGGAAUUUGGGGAAUUUUUAGUAGUUUUUGGGAACUGAGAAUUGAGAAAAAUUUAAUUUGCCUAUGGUGCCUUUAGGCUUCUUUUUGUGUGUGUGCCUGAGGUUAUUGUUGCAUCUUUAGACGUCAGUUUUAGGGGGCUGUUAGUGAGUGUCCCUUAGCCCGGUGGUGGUGGCGGUGGUGGUGUAACAAAACCCAAAACAGUUACUAUAGGUCUUGGCUCAGAAAAUUCAUAUAUGCUUCCUUACUAAUGAGACUUUCUAUACAACAAAGUGAGGUCAUUCUUUGUUGAUUUAUACCAUAAGGUGCUGGCUAUCAUGUGUUUGAAGAUACCCUAAACUUAACCUAACCUAACCUAACAAAACCCAAAACAGUUACUAUAGGUCUUGGCUCAGAAAAUUCAUAUAUGCUUCCUUACUAAUGAGACUUUCUAUACAACAAAGUGAGGUCAUUCUUUGUUGAUUUAUACCAUAAGGUGCUGGCUAUCAUGUGUUUGAAGAUACCCUAAACUUAACCUAACCUAACCUAACAAAACCCAAAACAGUUACUAUAGGUCUUGGCUCAGAAAAUUCAUAUAUGCUUCCUUACUAAUGAGACUUUCUAUACAACAAAGUGAGGUCAUUCUUUGUUGAUUUAUACCAUAAGGUGCUGGCUAUCAUCUGUUUGAAGAUACCCUAAACUUAACCUAACAAAACCCAAAACAGUUACUAUAGGUCUUGGUUCAGAAAAUUCAUAUAUGCUUCCUUACUAAUGAGACUUUCUAUACAACAAAGUGAGGUCAUUCUUUGUUGAUUUAUACCAUAAGGUGCUGGCUAUCAUGUGUUUGAAGAUACCCUAAACUUAACCUAACCUAACCUAACAAAACCCAAAACAGUUACAAUAGGUCUUGGCUCAGAAAAUUCAUAUAUGCUUCCUUACUAAUGAGACUUUCUAUACAACAGAGUGAGGCCAUUCUUUGUUGAUUUAUACCAUAAGGUGCUGGCUAUCAUCUGUUUGA